UACGGAGGGUGCAAGCGUUGUUCGGAAUUAUUGGGCGUAAAGGGCAGGUAGGUGGUCCCAAAAGUCUACUGUGAAAUCCCCGGGCUUAACUCGGGAAGUGCGGUAGAUACUCUGGGACUAGAGUGCUGGAGGGGGUUCGUGGAAUUCCCGGUAUAGCGGUGAAAUGCGUAGAUAUCAGGAGGAACACCGGUGGCGAAGGCGCACAUCUGGCCCGAUACUGACGCUGAGGCGCGAAAGCUAGGGGAGCAAACGGG
rnacentral:rRNA from 1 species